UGAGGAAUAUUGCGCAAUGGGGGCAACCCUGACGCAGCAACGCCGCGUGAGUGAGGAAGGUUUUCGGACCGUAAAGCUCUGUCGAGCGGGAAGAAAUGCAUGGUGGCUAGUAUCCAUCAUGCUUGACGGUACUGCUAAAGGAAGCACCGGCUAACUCCGUGCCAGCAGCCGCGGUAAUACGGGGGGUGCGAGCGUUGUUCGGAAUUAUUGGGCGUAAAGAGCGUGUAGGCGGCCGAAUAUGUCAGAUGUGAAAUCCCUGGGCUUAACACAGGACGUGCAUUUGAAACUAUUCGGCUGGAGUAGUGGAGAGGAGAGUGGUAUUCCUGGUGUAGAGGUGAAAUUCGUAGAUAUCAGGAGGAACACCGGUGGCGAAGGCGACUUUCUGGCCCUAUACUGACGCUGAGACGCGAGAGCGUGGG
rnacentral:rRNA from 1 species